rnacentral:rRNA from 1 species
AUUGAACGCUGGCGGAAUGCUUUACACAUGCAAGUCGAACGGUAGAGGGGGCAACCCCUCGAGAGUGGCGAACGGGUGAGUAAUAUAUCGGAACGUGCCCAGUCGUGGGGGAUAACGUAGCGAAAGUUACGCUAAUACCGCAUACGAUCUAAGGAUGAAAGCGGGGGAUCGCAAGACCUCGCGCGAUUGGAGCGGCCGAUAUCAGAUUAGCUAGUUGGUGAGGUAAAGGCUCACCAAGGCGACGAUCAGUAGCUGGUCUGAGAGGACGACCAGCCACACUGGAACUGAGACACGGUCCAGACUCCUACGGGAGGCAGCAGUGGGGAAUUUUGGACAAUGGGGGCAACCCUGAUCCAGCAAUGCCGCGUGAGUGAAGAAGGCCUUCGGGUUGUAAAGCUCUUUUGUCAGGGAAGAAAAGGGUACGGCUAAUAUCCGUGCCUCAUGACGGUACCUGAAGAAUAAGCACCGGCUAACUACGUGCCAGCCGCCGCCGUAA